GAGGCAUUGGUGCAAUGGUAGCAUCUUAGGCUUCCAACCUAAGGGUAUCGGUUCGAGUCCGAUAUGCCUCU
rnacentral:tRNA from 1 species